AAUGCAUUCACUGUAAUUAGAGAUUUGAAACCUGUGUUGUGUAAUUGGUUCUGCUACACUGAGCAGAAUGAGUGUCCUUUUUAAACAGAAGAAGAAGACAGAAAAACAAGUUAACUGAGAGAUCUGUGUAGUCUCCUGCCUGUCCUGCCAUCCCCUCCAGGUGACCGAUCCUUGCUCAUUUGCUCUCACUUCAGCAGUCCUGGGAGGAGCAAUCAGUUCCUGCAGUUUCUCCAAGCAGUUCACCUGACUUCUAGCGGGUUUCUGGGGAGGACCUGGAUCCAGCCUACCUUGAAUAAGAGCUGUGAGGGAGAUGGCUAUGACUUUUCUGGUUCCACCUAUCGUGGGAAUUCACCCUGGCUCCAUGAAUGUGUGACUAAUUUCCUGGACAGGACAACAACUGAAGAGAUGAAGAGAAACACAAGUGCUGUUGUAAAUGCCUGCAGACUCAAAUCCUGCCAGAGGCUCCAGGUGCAACAGGAGAAGCCAGCAGAGGGAGGCACGCCCAUUUUUACUGAAAGGAUUGGAAAAGGGUACUGGAGUGAAACUGCAGUUGUCUACAAACAGAAGGAUUCUUCCACUUGCCAGCCACACGUCUCUGUCAAGAAAAAAAGAAGUUGGAGCUGCCAUUAUGAAAUUUUAUUCAAACAAACUUUUGCAAAGGAGAAGAGUGGAAGACCAAAGACAGUGUCUUGAAAGAAAAUAGUCUUUAUUUCGAGGAUUGGAAGAAGAGAAAAAGUUAAGGCUAAGAAGAGAGUUGCUCAGAGGAGUUUGGCCAUAUUAAGAGCAGAGCUGGAAGUUAUCCCAAUGUGUAGGAAGGACGAGAUGACAGCGAGAAACCAGCUCACCCAAUGAGAUGUUCAGUGACCUCAAACAAGAAACUGGUUUUGCAGGGCUGCUCUGUAAAUCAGAUCAACAAAAUGAUCUGUAUUAAUAAAGAACACAAGACCUGUUUUUGUCCUCCCCCCCCCUUCUCCUUUGUUUUUUGUUAGACUGAGUUGUUUCAUUGACACAGCUGAUAGUGUAGGCCUAUGAACUACAGCAUCAGCACAACUCGAGGAGUGGAACCAGUGCUUGGAGUGAGGAUCUCCCAUGCCUCGGGAGACAGUGUUCACAAUGUAUUCAGGAAGGAGGUCAACCUUCACCACAAAUCCAACAUGGGAAAAGACAAAGAUAAAGCAGAAAGAGCCUUGGAGCAGUCCUUAGUUCAUCGGCAGGACUGAUCCGAAACGCACACAUCUGCCAUUCGCUGAGGCGCUGCGCUGCUCGGCAGAACGCCUGCUGUGAACACAACGCCUGCUGUGAGCACAGAAGGCCGACGGAACGGCGGGAGCGGCCGCCC
rnacentral:lncRNA from 1 species